UGAACAAAGAAUAAGAAUAAUUGCUUAGUUAAGCAAAUUUCCAAAAUGGGCGAUGUUUUAAUUCGUAUGCUCAGGGCUUUAAUGGGUGAUACCAUGUGUUGUCAACCUUUUUAAUUGUUUUUUUGAUAUUCCACGUUUUUGUGAGAUGAUAUUUCAGUUUUUGUUUUAUGAUUAUCAAUGCUUCAUUUGUAAUGUCUCGCUAGGUGAAUUAAUUGGUUUUGCAAAUCCUCUGUUCUUAUACAGUUAUUGAUGAGUUGGUCUAAAACAUUAUUGGUGCAAUAUUCACCUCUUUCUGUGGAGGUGCUGAAAUUGGUCAGGCAAUAGUAAAAGACACUUGCAUUUCCCUAGUUUCAUUUACUGGAAGUUCAAAGCCAAAUGAUGCUUCAAGUGUUCCUAAUACACCUUUGGAAGCAAGUGGAUCUACUGGUGCUAACAACCCUUAGUUUGCUUAUAGUGUAUUUUUUGGAUUUAAAGUUUAAUUAGUAUAAGACUAAUAUUACUUUGUUAUGGAUUUUAUGUCAUACUUUGAUUUACAAUAGAAAUUUGAAUUGUAAAUUUUUGAACUAUA